AGGGCACCACCAGGAGUGGAGCCUGCGGCUUAAUUUGACUCAACACGGGAAAACUUACCCGGCCCGGACACUGGAAGGAUUGACAGAUUGAGAGCUCUUUCUUGAUUCAGUGGGUGGUGGUGCAUGGCCGUUCUUAGUUGGUGGAGCGAUUUGUCUGGUUAAUUCCGAUAACGAACGAGACUCUAGCCUACUAAAUAGACCAGAGGCUUCUUAAAACACGUCUCUGGCUGCUUCUUAGAGGGACAGGCGGCGAUUCAACCGCACGAAACAAAGCAAUAACAGGUCUGUGAUGCCCUUAGAUGUCCGGGGCCGCACGCGCGCUACACUGAAGUGAUCAGCGUGCUUUUUGUACCCUGCUCUGCCAAGAGUGGGUAACCCAAUGAACCUUCUUCGUGAUUGGGAUAGGGGAUUGUAAUUAUUCCCCUUGAACGAGGAAUUCCCAGUAAGCGCGAGUCAUAAGCUCGCGUUGAUUACGUCCCUGCCCUUUGUACACACCGCCCGUCGCUACUACCGAUUGAA
rnacentral:rRNA from 1 species